rnacentral:ncRNA from 1 species
UCCAUCGUGAGGUGGAAUCUGAAGGAAGCUUACGGCAAAACCUUGACCUGACGAAUAGAAACUAUAUAUAAGGCUCAAAGUAUCGGAUAAGGUUGCAACCCAAACUGAAGUCCUAAACUGUACAGAGAUACGCGAGUAAAUAUAGCAGGUACAUGAGGUGAAAGUUAUUGUU